rnacentral:rRNA from 1 species
CACCUACGGGUGGCAGCAGUGGGGAAUAUUGGACAAUGGGCGCAAGCCUGAUCCAGCAAUGCCGCGUGAGUGAUGAAGGCCUUCGGGUUGUAAAGCUCUUUUACCUACGACGAUGAUGACGGUAGUAGGAGAAUAAGCCCCGGCUAACUUCGUGCCAGCAGCCGCGGUAAUACGAAGGGGGCUAGCGUUGUUCGGAAUUACUGGGCGUAAAGGGCGCGUAGGCGGCCCUGUCAGUCAAGCGUGAAAGCCCCGGGCUCAACCUGGGAAUUGCGCCUGAUACUGCAGGGCUUGAGGGUCGGAGAGGAUGGUGGAAUUCCCAGUGUAGAGGUGAAAUUCGUAGAUAUUGGGAAGAACACCGGUGGCGAAGGCGGCCAUCUGGACGACAUCUGACGCUGAGGCGCGAAAGCGUGGGGAGCAAACAGGAUUAGAUACCCUGGUAGUCCACGCUGUAAACGAUGAAUGCUAGACGUUGGGGUUCUCAGAACUUCAGUGUCGCCGCUAACGCAUUAAGCAUC